rnacentral:rRNA from 1 species
AAGCGGGAAGAGCUCAAAUUUAAAAUCUGGCAGUCUUUGAUUGUCCGAAUUGUAAUCUAGAGAAGCGUUUUCCGCGCUGGACUGUGUACAAGUUUCCUGGAUACGGAACAUCAUAGAGGGUGAGAAUCCCGUCCUUGACACAGACUACCAAUGCUUUGUGAUGCGCUCUCGACGAGUCGAGUUGUUUGGGAUUGCAGCUCAAAAUGGGAGGUAAAUUCCUUCUAAAGCUAAAUAUUGGCGAGAGACCGAUAGCGAACAAGUACCGUGAGGGAAAGAUGAAAAGCACUUUGGAAAGAGAGUUAAACAGUACGUGAAAUUGUUAAAAGGGAAACGCUUGAAGUCAGUCACGUUUGCUUGGACUCAACCUUACUUCGGUUUGGUGCAUUUCCUUGCGGACGGGCCAGCGUCCAUGUUGUUUGCCGGAGAAGGGGUUGAAGGAAUGUGGCUCCUUCGGGAGUGUUAUAGCCUUCACUCGUAUACGGGGAACGAUAUGGAGUGAUACAGCAUGCUUCGGUGGUGCUUGUGCUGGCAUAAUGGCUUUAAACGACCCGUCUUGAAACACGGACCAAGGAGUCUAACAUGUCUGCGAGUGUUUGGGUGGAAAACCCGAGCGCAUAAUGAAAGUGAUAGCUGGGAACCCCUUUUGGGAGGCACCGGCGCCCCGAGCUGACCUUCUGUGACGCAUCGGAGGUAGAGCAUAUAUGUUGGGACCCGAAAGAUGGUGAACUAUGCC